rnacentral:tRNA from 1 species
AGGAUAAUAGUUUAAAAAUAAACAUUUAAGUUGCAUUUAAAAAUUAUUGAUCGUCAAUUUAUCUUU